GACGAACGCUGGCGGCGUGCCUAAUACAUGCAAGUAGAACGCACAGUUUAUACCGUAGCUUGCUACACCAUAGACUGUGAGUUGCGAACGGGUGAGUAACGCGUAGGUAACCUGCCUGGUAGCGGGGGAUAACUAUUGGAAACGAUAGCUAAUACCGCAUAAUAUUAAUUAUUGCAUGAUAAUUGAUUGAAAGAUGCAACUGCAUCACUACCAGAUGGACCUGCGUUGUAUUAGCUAGUAGGUGAGGUAACGGCUCACCUAGGCGACGAUACAUAGCCGACCUGAGAGGGUGAUCGGCCACACUGGGACUGAGACACGGCCCAGACUCCUACGGGAGGCAGCAGUAGGGAAUCUUCGGCAAUGGACGAAAGUCUGACCGAGCAACGCCGCGUGAGUGAAGAAGGUUUUCGGAUCGUAAAGCUCUGUUGUAAGAGAAGAACGGGUGUGAGAGUGGAAAGUUCACACUAUGACGGUAUCUUACCAGAAAGGGACGGCUAACUACGUG
rnacentral:rRNA from 1 species